AAGUGGCUUAAGAGUAAUGCAAAGCUUUGGAUCCUGGAGUUUUUAAAUCUCCAAACAGUGAGAUUCAAACUCAAAUUUCAAUUGAAAUUUCUCAGGUUUUCCUUUGAAUUAAGAGGGGUUGGAAGGUUGGGGGUAAAGCUAGCGCGCAAGGUCCUUUGAACUGAGGCAUUAGACCUCUAUUUAUAACAAUGGGAAGUGUUAUUU
rnacentral:lncRNA from 1 species